AAACGUGUUGAGAUUCCUCUUUAAUGAUUGAGACCUGCUGUUUGUAAUGACCUCUCUAUAAUGUCUAAGUUUAAAUUGUUAAGUUCUUUGCCCCGUUGGAGGAGAUAGCUCAGAAGAUAAUUGAGAACGAAGGAAAAAGAGAGUUCCUAAGAAGCCAGAAUCUACGGAUGAUGAAGAAAAAAUUGGAAACGAAGAGAGUGAUUUAGAAGAAGCUUGCAUUUUGCCUCAUAGUCCAAUAAAUGUGGACAAGAGACCCAUUGCAAUUAAAUCACCCAAGGACAAAUGGCAGCCGCUGUUGAGUACUGUUACAGGUGUUCACAAAUAUAAGUGGUUGAAGCAGAAUGUGCAGGGUCUUUAUCCGCAGUCUCCACUCCUCAGUACAAUUGCUGAAUUUGCCCUUAAAGAAGAGCCAGUGGAUGUGGAAAAAAUGAGAAAGUGCCUACUAAAACAGUUGGAGAGAGCAGAGGUUCGCCUGGAAGGGAUAGAUACAAUUUUAAAACUGGCGAGCAAGAAUUUCUUACUUCCAUCUGUGCAGUAUGCGAUGUUUUGUGGAUGGCAAAGACUUAUUCCUGAGGGAAUCGAUAUAGGGGAACCUCUUACUGAUUGUUUAAAGGAUGUUGAUUUGAUCCCACCUUUUAAUCGGAUGCUGCUGGAAGUCACCUUUGGCAAGCUGUACGCUUGGGCUGUACAGAACAUUCGAAAUGUUUUGAUGGAUGCCAGUGCCAAAUUUAAAGAGCUUGGUAUCCAGCCGGUUCCCCUGCAAACCAUCACCAAUGAGAACCCGUCGGGACCCAGCCUGGGGACCAUCCCGCAAGCCCGCUUCCUCCUGGUGAUGCUCAGCAUGCUCACCCUGCAGCACGGCGCAAACAACCUCGACCUUCUGCUCAAUUCCGGCAUGCUGGCCCUCACGCAGACGGCACUGCGCCUGAUUGGCCCCAGUUGUGACAACGUUGAGGAAGAUAUGAAUGCUUCUGCUCAAGGUGCUUCUGCCACAGUUUUGGAAGAAACAAGGAAGGAAACGGCUCCUGUGCAGCUCCCUGUUUCAGGGCCAGAACUGGCUGCCAUGAUGAAGAUUGGAACAAGGGUCAUGAGAGGUGUGGACUGGAAAUGGGGCGAUCAGGUACUCAGAGAUUUGAUGUGAACACAUUA
rnacentral:lncRNA from 1 species